GACGAACGCUGGCGGCGUGCCUAAUACAUGCAAGUCGAGCGACCACUUCGGUGGUCAGCGGCGGACGGGUGAGUAACACGUGGGCAACCUGCCUGUAAGACUGGGAUAACACCGGGAAACCGGUGCUAAUACCGGAUAAUCCUUUCCUUCACAUGAAGGGAAGCUGAAAGACGGUUUCGGCUGUCACUUACAGAUGGGCCCGCGGCGCAUUAGCUAGUUGGUGAGGUAACGGCUCACCAAGGCAACGAUGCGUAGCCGACCUGAGAGGGUGAUCGGCCACACUGGGACUGAGACACGGCCGAGACUCCUACGGGAGGCAGCAGUAGGGAAUCUUACGAAAUGGACGAAAGUCUGACGGGGCGACGCCGCGUGAGCGAUGAAGGCCUUCGGGUCGUAAAGCUCUGUUGUCAGGGAAGAACAAGUACCGGAGUAACUGCCGGUACCUUGACGGUACCUGACCAGAAAGCCACGGCUAACUACGUGCCAGCCGCCGCGGUAAUAC
rnacentral:rRNA from 1 species